AUACGCAAUGGCAACUCUACGCGUCAGCUGGGCGAAACCCAUCUGUUUACUUCGUGGCUCUUGGUAGAAGGCCAUAAGGUACCGGGAAACAUGCUACGGUGGCCUGCCUGAUGCCGUGAUUGCAGGUUUAUGAAACCCAUCCUCUUGGGUAUGGAUGUAUUUCAUAAAUCCUGACAAUCACUUGCAUCAGGUCUGCAAUCUCUCGGCAGGUUCCCCCUCGCAGAGCUGGGGUUAGCCAUCGGGCCACAUAUAAAAAAGGCAGCCCCAGUUCUCCAACGUUUGCCCGGGGAAGCCGCCGUGAAAUAAACACCGCUUCCCCCAGCCUGUAAGAAUGGGAUCCAGUAAUUGACCAUUCCAACGAGGGACAAUAAGAACAACUGAAAACAAAAAAAAACUUGCGCAUGGCAGACCACACGUUCACAUUGCUGUCGCUGGUCUGCCGAACGGUGUGCCCAAGUUAAUCCCAACUCCUCCUGUCGCAGGAAGGCACUAGGAGUGGGGAGUGUGACGUGGAAGUCGGCCGCCACGCAGACGUAAAGGCCUCUUUAUAGGGGACAUCCACGCCAAUUUUUUUUUUUUCUCUGGCACGUGGUAUACUAGGGUGUCCCGCAACA